GGGGGUUUAUCUUAGUAGCAAAAAGUGCUUGCCUGGAAAGCAUGAGGUUAUGAGUUCGAUCUCAAAAUAUCAA
rnacentral:tRNA from 1 species